rnacentral:rRNA from 1 species
GACGAACGCUGGCGGCGUGCUUAACACAUGCAAGUCGAGCGGCGCGGUGAACGGGUGAGUAACGCGUGAGUAACUGCCCCCCUCUCUGGGAUAACAGUUGGAAACGGCUGCUAUUACCGGAUAGUGGGGGAUGACUCGCGUCCUAUUAGUUUGUUGGUGGGGUAGUGGCCUACCAAGGCGACGACGGAUAGCCGGCCUGAGAGGGCGACCGGCCACAUUGUGCUGAGAUACGACCCAAAAUCCUACGGGCGGCAGCAGUGGUGAAUAUUGCACAGUGGUGGAAACCCUGGUACAGCAGCGCCGCGUGCGGAAUGACGGGUUGCUGGUUGUAAACCGCUUUCAGCCAAAACGCGGUAGUGACAGAAGAAGCACCGGCUAACUACGUGCCAGCAGCCGCGGUAAUAC